GCCCGGGUGGCGAAAUUGGUAGACGCAACGGAUUUAAAAUCCGUUGGCUGUAACGGUCAUGCCGGUUCGAUUCCGGCCCCGGGCA
rnacentral:tRNA from 1 species